GACCAGACUCCUACGGGAGGCAGCAGUGGGGAAUAUUGCACAAUGGGGGAAACCCUGAUGCAGCAACGCCGCGUGAGUGAAGAAGUAUUUCGAUAUGUAAAGCUCUAUCAGCAGGGAAGAAGAUGACGGUACCUGAUUAAGAAGCCCCGGCUAACUACGUGCCAGCAGCCGCGGUAAUACGUAGGGGGCAAGCGUUAUCCGGAUUUACUGGGUGUAAAGGGAGCGUAGACGGCGGGGCAAGUCUGGAGUGAAAGGCCGGGGCCCAACCCCGGGACCGCUCUGGAAACUGCCCGGCUGGAGUGCGGGAGAGGUAAGCGGAAUUCCUAGUGUAGCGGUGAAAUGCGUAGAUAUUAGGAGGAACACCAGUGGCGAAGGCGGCUUACUGGACUGUAACUGACGUUGAGGCUCGAAAGCGUGGGGAGCAAACAGGAUUAGAUACCCCAGUAU
rnacentral:rRNA from 1 species